rnacentral:rRNA from 1 species
UACGUAGGGACCAAGCGUUGUUCGGAUUUACUGGGCGUAAGGGGCGCGUAGGCGGCUUGACAAGUCACUUGUGAAAUCUCCGGGCUUAACUCGGAACGGCCAAGUGAAACUGUCAUGCUAGAGUGCAGAAGGGGCAAUCAGAAUUCUUGGUGUAGCGGUGAAAUGCGUAGAUAUCAAGAGGAACACCUGAGGUGAAGACGGGUUGCUGGGCUGACACUGACGCUGAGGCGCGAAAGCCAGGGGAGCAAACGGG